AGCGAACGCUGGCGGCAGGCUUAACACAUGCAAGUCGAGCGGGCACCUUUCGGGGUGUCAGCGGAGGACGGGUGAGUAACGCGUGGGAACGUGCCCUCUGGUUCGGAAUAACUCAGGGAAACUUGAGCUAAUACCGGAUACGCCCUUUUGGGGAAAGGCUUGCUGCCGGAGGAUCGGCCCGCGUCUGAUUAGCUAGUUGGUGAGGUAACGGCUCACCAAGGCGACGAUCAGUAGCUGGUCUGAGAGGAUGAUCAGCCACACUGGGACUGAGACACGGCCCAGACUCCUACGGGAGGCAGCAGUGGGGAAUAUUGGACAAUGGGCGCAAGCCUGAUCCAGCCAUGCCGCGUGAGUGAUGAAGGCCUUAGGGUUGUAAAGCUCUUUUAUCCGGGACGAUAAUGACGGUACCGGAGGAAUAAGCCCCGGCUAACUUCGUG
rnacentral:rRNA from 1 species